rnacentral:rRNA from 1 species
GACGAACGCUGGCGGCGUGCUUAACACAUGCAAGUCGAACGGAAAGGCCCUGCUUGCCGGGUACUCGAGUGGCGAACGGGUGAGUAACACGUGGGUGAUCUGCCCUGCACUUCGGGAUAAGCCUGGGAAACUGGGUCUAAUACCGGAUAUGACCUUCCAUGUAGUGUGGGGGGUGGAAAGAUUUAUCGGUGUGGGAUGAGCCCGCGGCCUAUCAGCUUGUUGGUGGGGUAAUGGCCUACCAAGGCGUCGACGGGUAGCCGGCCUGAGAGGGUGGACGGCCACAUUGGGACUGAGAUACGGCCCAGACUCCUACGGGAGGCAGCAGUGGGGAAUAUUGCACAAUGGGCGGAAGCCUUAUGCAGCGACGCCGCGUGGGGGAUGACGGCCUUCGGGUUGUAAACCUCUUUCGACAGGGACGAAGCUUCGGUGACGGUACCUGUAGAAGAAGCACCGGCUAACUACGUG